rnacentral:rRNA from 1 species
UACGGAGGAUCCAAGCGUUGUCCGGAUUUAUUGGGUUUAAAGGGUGCGUAGGCGGAUAAUUAAGUCAGUGGUGAAAUCUUGCGGCUCAACCGUAAAAUUGCCAUUGAAACUGAUUAUCUUGAGUACAGUUGAGGUGGGCGGAAUGUAUCAUGUAGCGGUGAAAUGCUUAGAUAUGAUACAGAACACCUAUUGCGAAAGCAGCUCACUAAACUGCAACUGACGCUGAGGCACGAAAGCGUGGGGAUCAAACAGU